UACGAAGGGGGCUAGCGUUGCUCGGAAUCACUGGGCGUAAAGCGCACGUAGGCGGAUUGCUAAGUCAGGGGUGAAAUCCUGGAGCUCAACUCCAGAACUGCCCUUGAUACUGGCGGUCUCAAGUCCGGGAGAGGUGAGUGGAACUGCGAGUGUAGAGGUGAAAUUCGUAGAUAUUCGCAAGAACACCAGUGGCGAAGGCGGCUCACUGGCCCGGUACUGACGCUGAGGUGCGAAAGCGUGGGGAGCAAACAGG
rnacentral:rRNA from 1 species